rnacentral:lncRNA from 1 species
AGGGGGACGGGAUGGGGGAACGAUGGGGGCAGGGGGCGAUUUGGGGGGGGUCCGUACCUCGUCCUGCAGCACAGAGCAGCAGCAGUGCUGGCAGCAGCAGUGGGGGGGGGCGCCGGGGGGGCUGCAUUGUGGCUGUGGAGGAGCCGCUCCGGCGGCGGAGGCUGCGGUGAAUGGGUGGGAAUUGGGGGCGGGGCUAAACGGGGCUGUGGGGGCGGGGCUUGGAGGAGGGGGAGGGGCUUGUGGUGGGGCGCUGUGGGGCUCCAUGGGUCUCUAUGGGGUCCAUAUGGGGUUCUAUGGGUCUCUAUGGGGUCCCUAUGGGGUCUCUGUGGGGUCUGUAUGGGUCCUUAUGGGGUCUCUAUGGGUCCCUAUAAGGUCUCUGUGGGUCUUUUCAGGGCUCUAUAGGGUCUUUAUGGGUCUCUGUGGGGUCUCUAUAGGUCCCUAUAGGUCCUUAUGAAAUCUUUAUGGGUCUUUACGGACCUCUAUGGGUCUCUACAGGAUUUCUAUGGGUCCUUAUGGGUCUCUAUGGGUCUCUAUGGGUCCCUAUGGGUCUCUACAGGAUCCCUAUGGGUCUCUAUGGAGUCUCUAUGGGUCUCUAUGGGUCUUUACAGAUCUCUACAGAACCUCUAUGGGUCUCUAUGAGGUCUCUAUGGGUUCCUAUGGGUCCCUAUGGGUCUCUAUGUGUCUCUAUGAGUCCCUAUGGGGUCUCUAUGGGUCCCUGUGGGUCUCUAUGGGGUUUUUUGGGAGUCCCUAUGGGUCUCUAUGGGUCUCUACGGGCCCCUAUUGGGUCUCUACACGGUCUCUAUGGGUUCUUAUGGGUCUCUAUGGGGCUUUGGGGGCUGUGUGUCUGGCAAUGGGUCCCUAUGGGUCCCUAUGGAUCUCUAUGGGUGUUUCUAUGGGGAUUUAUGGCUGUGACUCGCCCCAAUUAAGCGCAGUGGGAGGGGGCGGGGCUUAACGAAGGGGGCGGGGCCUAACGGAGGGGUGGGGCUUAACAGGGGGCGGGGCUUGGAUGAAAGGCUGGGGGCUCAAAGAGUGGGGCUGCGAGUGGGACCCCCAGCAUCCCCACCCAUUUGGGAUUGGAGACCCCUCCCCAUUUAACCUAGGGGACCCCCAACUCCCCCCCAUUUGACAUAGGGAACACCCAAACCCCCCCUCCCCCAUUUGGGACUGGGGACCCUAACCCAACCCCCCCACCCCUAUUUGAAACUGGGGACCCCCCCCCAUUUAACCUAGGGGACCCCCAAC